rnacentral:misc_RNA from 1 species
ACCUCUCCUCCUCACAAUCCUACUCAACCACAAGGCAAGCGCCGCACAUGCAAAACUCACAGAAGCGCGCAAAGACACCUACCCAUACAGAAUAAGAAAUCGCUCUUGAAUACUCACCCCGCCACCUCUUCAGAAGAGUUUCUCUCUCUCUGCCUGUGCCCCCACCACCACCACCAUCAUCACCACUCCUCUCAAUCCGUCCCUCUUGGCGCUAUCGACUGUCAUGAUGUCCAAACCGCAUCACGCCACGCUGGAGUCGAUCAAGUACACGCCUGGCUCAUUGCGACUGCUGGAUCAGCGCAAGCUGCCUCUCGAGACCGUAUUCGACGAUGUUCUCACCGUGGAGGAUAUUUGGUCGGCCAUCAACGAGAUGCGCGUCCGUGGCGCUCCGGCGAUCGCUGUCAGUGCAGCUCUCGGCAUUGCCGUGGCGACACAGAGAAAAGUUGCCAACGGCGAGCUCAAGAGCGGUAGUGAGGUGCAGGCCUUCUUCCUGUCGAGCUGUGACUUCGUGAUGACUAGCAGGCCGACCGCCGUGAACCUCUUCAACUGUCUACGCGACCUUAAGGAGCAGGUGGAAAAGCUUGACCCGACCAAGGCCGCUGCCGAGGUGGCGCAGGCCUGUGUAGAGCUGGCGGAGGCGGUGUACACAAAGGAUGUGGCCUUCAACGAGGGCAUUAUGCGGCACGGCGCAGCGCAUAUUUUAGCCGUUGCCAAGGCCGAAGGCCGCGACAAGGUGAGCAUUCUCACCAUCUGUAACACAGGCGCCCUCGCGACGUCACGCUACGGCACGGCACUCGGCGUCGUGCGCCAACUCUUCUACGACGGCAAACUCGAGAGGGUGUACGCGUGUGAGACUCGGCCGUGGAACCAGGGUGCUCGACUCACGGUGUACGAGUGUGUGCAGGAGGGCAUCCCGUGCACGCUCAUCUGCGACGGCGCGGCCUCGUCACUCAUGCUGAAUCGCAAGAUCGACGCCGUCGUCGUUGGUGCCGACCGCAUUUGCCAGAACGGUGACACGGCGAACAAGAUCGGCACUUACAACUUAGCGGUGUCGGCCAAGUUUCACGGGGUGAAACUCUACGUAGCCGCUCCUUCGACGACGCUGGACGCGAAGACCGCGAGCGGCAACCGUGUCGAGAUCGAGGAGCGCGAGCCGACGGAAAUCACAACGAACAUGGUGACAAAGCAGCGCGUCGUGGCGGAUGGACCACACCUGUCCGUCUGGAACCCCGUCUUCGACAUCACGCCAGGUGAACUGAUCACUGGCGGCAUCAUCACAGAAAAGGGUGUGCAGGCGCCCACGGCGAGCGCCCCGUACUACGACAUAGCGUCUAUCAUCGCCCAGCCAUGAAGAGGUGCAGGGAUGUGGAAUGAGGAAUCGGUGGCCUCCUGGAGAGCGCUCUAGUUGCUCUCUGCGGGCCACACGCGCUUUUUUCCCUUUUUUUUAUGCUCAACGUGCCCAUUCUCUGCCACGCAGUGCUAGCUUACAUGUCAAUCUACCGUCCACCGGCCCCCCGUGACAUGCCUUCCCCCACCCCAUUCGCGUGGUGCGAAUCAGCGCUAAACAUGAACGUGCUGCAGCAGUGCGCUGAGCUGGUUAUGUGGGCGCGGCCCCCUGCCUCGAACUCUGCCCAUCCACGCCGCAGGUCGCCUCACAGCUGUUCCCCUCGUGCCGGUCGCAACGUGGCGCGCGGCCCCCCUCUCGAGGAGGCGCACUGAGGCUCCCCACACCACUAGGUAGUGAGUAACCGGGUGUGAGAUACGUUCCGACUCGGUGGGCAGUAUGCGUGUUAUGCGCGCAGCGCAGACGCACUCCCUGCCACAGAUCUCUCCGAUGCAACGCCAUCCAGUGCCUGGCGGCCGGCGGCAGCAGCGAUACAUUGCUCUGUACUUUGCACGUCUUCGGCGCUUGACCCUGUCGCCACUAG